rnacentral:rRNA from 1 species
UACGAAGGGGGCUAGCGUUGCUCGGAAUCACUGGGCGUAAAGCGCACGUAGGCGGAUUGCUAAGUCAGGGGUGAAAUCCUGGAGCUCAACUCCAGAACUGCCUUUGAUACUGGUGAGCUUGAGUCCGGAAGAGGUGAGUGGAACUGCGAGUGUAGAGGUGAAAUUCGUAGAUAUUCGCAAGAACACCAGUGGCGAAGGCGGCUCACUGGUCCGGUACUGACGCUGAGGUGCGAAAGCGUGGGGAGCAAACAGGG